CAACACCGUCACGACCUCCCUGCAGCUUUCACCCACCCCGAGCUGCAGCUCCGAAAGCAAGCCAGUCCGCUCGGCUAACGCUGGUACUUACCUGGUCAGGGCCGCCGCUGGAGCCGCACGAUUAGCUUUGUGCAAAAAAAGAUGAGCAAAUGUUCCCAUCACAUACUGGCGACACAAAACAUCCGGCUGGUUUGCAGCGUGACCCAGCCAAACUGCGUCAAGUUAAAAAGUAUGCCAGAGUGGGAAAGCCAGAUUCCAGAACUAUGUUGUGUUUAUUGAAUCAACACAUCUUGAAAGAUUCUUCUUUGCAAA